AUGGAGAGUCUCCAUCCAGCUGGAUCACUGUCACAGACAAACACACCACCACACCUCCACCUACAUCUACCUCUCCUCCUACAUCCACACCACCUCCAUCACUCUCUCCUGUGGUUCUCUCUGUGUUGUCAUGUGUUGGAUCAGUUUGUGUUGUCGUUCUACUGGUGUUACUGGUUCUACUGGUGAAACGAUGUGUUCACAGGAAACCUGAAGACAGGGAUCCAGUUGCAGUCAACACAGCAGAGGGAAUUGAAGACAUUACCUAUGGUCAAAUCAUUGUCAAAAACAAAGCCACCAUUAGAGACUUCAAACCAGAGCCAGACGUCAUCUACUCUUCACUGAAGUAGUCCACCAGUCCAACCACUGAUGUCCAGCUGCUGGUCUCUAACUGGUCCCCCAGCAUCUCACACCAGAGGACAUCCACAUCCUGAAAGAAUUUGUUUAUGUUUUGUCUUUUUCACACCAAAUUAGACAAACUAUGUAAAAAAAACAUAUAUUUUAACUGCCAUUUUAAGAGUGUAUUUUUUCUUGCCAGAUCAAAAAAAGGUUUUAUAAACAUGUUUGUGUAUUUUAUGUGUAGUAACCUCAGUGCCAUUAGUAUUUUAUUUGUGCUUGUUGACUAAUAUUCCCAAGCCUGUGGUCUGUUAUCUUUGCAGUAUUAAUAAUCUUUUCUCCAAAAGUUGAUUCUGUUCAUCUGGACGAUUGAUCAACAAUCACUGAUUAAUGGCCAUGAGUACCAUUCACAGA